rnacentral:rRNA from 1 species
AUGCCUAACACAUGCAAGUCGAACGGUAACAGGUCUUCGGAUGCUGACGAGUGGCGCACGGGUGAGUAACGCGUGGAUAUCUGCCUAUGAGUGGGGGACAACUUUCGGAAACGAAAGCUAAUACCGCAUAAUCUCUACGGAGCAAAGCAGGGGACCUUUCGGGGCYUUGUGCUUAUAGAUGAGUCCGCGUCAGAUUAGCUAGUUGGUGGGGUAAGAGCCUACCAAGGCGAUGAUCUGUAGCUGGUUUGAGAGGAUGAUCAGUCACACUGGAACUGAGACACGGUCCAGACUCCUACGGGAGGCAGCAGUGGGGAAUUUUGCACAAUGGGCGCAAGCCUGAUGCAGCGAUGCCGCGUGUGGGAAGAAGGCCUUUGGGUUGUAAACCACUUUCAAUUGGGAAGAAGGGAUGAGUAUUAAUAAUACUCUGACUUGACGGUACCUUUAGAAGAAGCACCGGCUAAUUUCGUGCCAGCAGCCGCGGUAAUACGAAAGGUGCAAGCGUUGUUCGGAUUUACUGGGCGUAAAGAGAUCGUAGGUGGUUUGUUAAGUUAGAUGUGAAAUCCCGGGGCUCAACCUCGGAACUGCAUCUAAAACUGGCAGACUUGAGUUCGGGAGGGGUAAGCGGAAUUCCGUGUGUAGCAGUGAAAUGCGUAGAUAUACRGAGGAACACCUGAGGCGAAGGCGGCUUACUGGACCGAUACUGACACUGAGGAUCGAAAGCGUGGGUAGCAAACAGGAUUAGAUACCCUGGUAGUCCACGCCCUAAACGAUGUCAACUAGCCGUUGCGGGUAUCGACCCCUGCAGUGGCGCAGCUAACGCGAUAAGUUGACCGCCUGGGGAGUACGGUCGCA